CUCAUCCUCACUCCUCUGUAAUGCAUCUUCUCUUCCGCGGACACAUGUACGGGUAGCUGCUCUGGCUGGGGAUUUGCGGUUGCGAAUUGGAUCCACUCGGUUCUGUUCGGCGGCUCGAUCUUCAACGGCGGUUUCCGGUUCGAUCUCGAGGCUGAACCAGAAACACCGCGUGGAUUCGAUUGAAACGUGAAAGAUGAUUCGCUCGAUGCUAGAUGAGACUUUAUGAUAAGCAAAUGAACUUAAUGAGACUUAGAUGUGGAAGCGAAGGAGAAUCGGAAGUGGUGUAAUGGGAGGAAAACGAAACGGAGAGGUCCAUGUGUUGUGUGAAUGAACGAAUGACAUGGCAAAAAGAACUCAUCCUAUUGGCUGAUUUAAUUGCUGACGUGGACAGCUUCUCUGAUGCUCAUAUAACCCUUUUAGUAUAGGUUAGAUUACAGAUCAAAAUUGAAAAUUGUCUUUUUUAAAUCUAUCUCUCCUUUUUAAACUCUGUAUAUGCGGUGGUUGUUAUAUCCUUGUAUUUGUCAGCUGCAUUUGCAAGCCUUUAUUGUCUAUUUGAUUCCCUCACCAAAGGAAAUGUAUUAUUUCUUUUUCUCUGUCCCACCGUGUUACUUUAACAGUUUUGAACCAUCCUAUAGCUAGUGUCAUAUGUUUCUGAAAAAAAUAAUCCAAAUUUAUACCCCCUUUUUUUGUAUGUUAUGGAACACAAUGUGGGGUUCGGAUUGUAGUUCAUGUUGCUUUGUAUGAGCAGAAUGAAAAGCCGGAGGUGCUAAAAAAGAAAAUUCACCAUGCAGCAGGAACAUGGUGGUCCAAGAGGAAAUCAAUUGGCGGAGUAGAACAUCUUCAAGAUGUGAAAAGGGAAGAUGAUAUUGAUCCCAUUAAAAAAACACAGAGAAUGAAAGGAAUAACGUUGAAGCUGAUCUAUAAAUUUGAGGAGACAUUGGAACUCAAGUUGUCUUCCUAGAGGAUAUGAUCCUCGCCGUAGAGAACCUUCGUACUUUACUGUAACUAUAACCGGUGGGAGUUGGUGGUUCCUUACUCACACGCUCGCCCCUCGGUUGCUAACCCUUCUCUCAUGAGUGUACAAACGGAAACCCAUUCAAUGAAUAUCUCUAACUGAUUUCUUUCAUAAACCAGAACAAAACACUUGGCAUCCCAAAUCGAAUCUUCCAAGAAGGUAAAAAGCUCAGCAGGCCUCAGCAACCAGAGUUUAAAGUAAUAAAAUUUUCAAAUUUAUUUCUUUUUAAAAUGCAGUGUUAGAUUUCAAUCAAUACUGCCUCAAAUUAAAAUAUUAAUCAAAAUCAGUCAAUAUUUUCCAUACAAAAUAUAAACGAACAGUUUUCAAUUUUCUAAAAUUGAAAUCAAUUUUUUUUUGUUAUAAUACACAUGUAUCAUGAUUCAUGGCUAUAUAUGUAUGAGUAACACUUUAUCAAUUUUUACUUCCGAAAAAUAAAUAAAAAACAAGUAUAGUGAAUUUAUGAAUCAUACUCAGACUUUCAAACUUAUGCAGACUAUACAAAUCAAAAUAUGGAGACACCAUCCAUAAAUUAAAUAUAGUGAAAAUUAUAACUAAACAUAUAUAAAUAAUACAAGUUAAGAGGGAUGGAUAUAAACAAAAAAAAAUCAUAAAACACUUGCGGGAGAAGCAAAAAGCUUUCUUGCACCAUUAUUACAACUUCUUAACAAAGCUAGAUGCAACCCUCAGUUGUUGUUGUUGUUUUUUUUGUUUUUGCUUAAACCUCCUCAGUUGUUCACGGCAAUAUAGCCAUCUUAUUUCAUCGUCUUAAUCUUAACCACAUGUAUACGGGCCUCAUUUCAUGUAUUAGCAAAUGAAAGAAUCAAUUCUUCUCCAUAUACAUAUCUAUUCUAUUAAAACAGCAAUGUGACCCAUUAAUAAAAAUAGAGUCCAACAAUUAUUUCAUCUAUCUUUAUUUUUUUAUAUGAUAACUGCAAUGCCCUUUUAAUUAACCACCACAUAUACAUGUACACGGUUAGACGCCUAAAAAUCAGGGGCCAAAAAUCUUAUAACUGCAUCAAUAGAUCUUAAUUAAUUAAAAAUUAAACAUCAUUAGUAUUAAUAUGCGAAUAUGUAGGGAACCUCUAUUUAUAUGUAACUUCCGUUUUUACAAUUUGUUUUCUACUAAUGAGGACCAUUUAAAAUCUAAUUUAAAUAACUUUACGACCAUUUUACAAUUGUUUUCUACAAUUGUAAUAUACUCAUACAGCAGUACAUAUUUAUAUUCACUGAACUUCAUACAAUUUAAGGCGCUAAAUAAUACUUCUUAAAAGUUGGAAGAAAACAUGUGGAUGUCGCAUAAGUCUGAUAUGCCUUUGAUUGGUUUCCUAACAUCAUCUUACUUCUUUUAUAAUAAUGAACGCCUGCAAAAAAAAGCAUUCAUUCCCCAGAAGAAAACAAAAGAGUUAUAUAUAUAUGGCUUAUAAACAAGAUUUGAAAAUAUUAUAUACUUCAGUUCUUAAUAUUUUGGAUGAUACAUGUUAACGAUCAUGUGUUAGAUAACAUUCUUUGAUGACAGAAUAAUAAAUUUGCAAAGCAAGCAAAAUAAACAUCUAAAACAAGUACUCUAUGUAAAGGAUCAACCAGAAAAGAUAGAUUGGUUAAUUCAGAUCAUAAGAACAUAAGCUAUGUCUUCUUCUACUAUUGAUGUAAAGGAUCAAUUGUCACAAUUUUUUUUUUUUUAAAUCCCUAUCCCGAAUAUACUGCAUUUGAUACAGAACAUAGAUUUUUCACAUGACCAAAAGAUUACCUGAGAUCUUGACAGGAGCAAAGCCAAUUUAAACUUCUCUGGUUUCAAUUGAACAUAGUCACUCAGAUUCGGCUUCCACCGUCUUCUACGGCUUUGUAAGAACCAAAUGAGCUUUCACUUUAUUGUUCUAUCGUUUACCGGUGGUGCAGUGAGUCCAGCAAUACCACAAUAACAUGAUUCU